rnacentral:rRNA from 1 species
UGGUGUAGGGGUGAAAUCCGUUGAUAUCAUGGGGAACACCAAAAGCGAAGGCAGCUUACUGGUCCUUUACUGACACUGAAACACGAAAGCGUGGGUAGCGAAUGGGAUUAGAUACCCCAGUAGUCCACGCCCUAAACGAUGAUCACUAGCUAUUGGGAGUAUCGACCCUCACAGUGGCGUAGCUAACGCGUUAAGUGAUCCGCCUGGGAAGUACGGCCGCAAGGCUAAAACUCAAAGGAAUAGACGGGGACUCGCACAAGCGGUGGAUUAUGUGGUUUAAUUCGUAGGUAAACGAAGAACCUUACCAAGAUUUGAAACUCUGACGAAAGCUCUGGGAAACCAGAGCCCUCGCAAGACGGCAGAGCAGGUGAUGCAUGGCCGUCGUCAGCUCGUGGUUUGAACUGUUCCCUUAAGUGGGCUAACGAGCGCAACCCUCGUCGUGUGUUAUACGUGUCACGCGAGACCGCCCAGCCCCAAGGUUAUAUCCGGACACUGUGUGGAGUACAAAAGAUUUAUCUUCUGUACUCCACACAGUGUCUGAUCGAUGUAAUUUUUGGGCUGGGAGGAAGGAGAGGAUGACGCCAGGUCAGCAUGUCCCUUUGAUAUCUUGGGCCACACACAUAAUACAAUGGUUGUUACAGAGGGAUGCAAUGGAGCGAUCCGGAGCCAACCCCCAAAGACAGCCCUAGUUCGGAUAGAAGUCUGCAACUCGACUUCUUGAAGCUGGAAUCGCUAGUAAUCGCAGGUCAGCCAAACUGCGGUGAAUACGUUCUCGAGUCUUGUACUCACCGCCCGUCAAUUCAAGGGAGCCGGUAGUACCCGAAGGCUCUCCAUAAGGAGGGACUACGGUAAGAUCGGUGACAGGGAAUAAGUCGUAACAAGGCACGGGUAGCGGAAGCUGCUCGUG